CCCUUAGAUGUUCUGGGCCGCACGCGCGCUACACUGACGGAUUCAACGAGCUUACAACCUUGGCCGAAAGGUCUGGGUAAUCUCCAAAAUCCGUCGUGAUGGGGAUAGAUUAUUGCAAUUAUUAAUCUUCAACGAGGAAUGCCUAGUAAGCGCAAGUCAUCAGCUUGCGUUGAUUACGUCCCUGCCCUUUGUACACACCGCCCGUCGCUCCUACCGAUUGAAUGGUCCGGUGAAGCGUUCGGACCGUGGCCUUUGGACGGUUCGCCGUCUGUUGGCUGCGGGAAGUUCGUUAAACCUUAUCAUUUAGAGGAAGGAGAAGUCGUAACA
rnacentral:rRNA from 1 species